UUGCUCGGACGAGUAAAGUGGCGCACGGGUGAGUAACGCGUGGGUAACCUGCCCUUGAAACCGGGAUAACUUCGCGAAAGCGUUGCUAAUACCGGAUAUUGUCCUUUUUGCCGUGGCAUAAAGGAUGAAAGGUGACCUCUUCAUGAAAGUUGCCGUUGAAGGAGGGGCUCGCGUACCAUUAGCUUGUUGGUAGGGUAACGGCCUACCAAGGCUACGAUGGUUAGCUGGUUUGAGAGGAUGAUCAGCCACACUGGAACUGAAACACGGUCCAGACUCCUACGGGAGGCAGCAGUGAGGAAUUUUGCGCAAUGGGGGAAACCCUGACGCAGCAACGCCGCGUGAGUGAAGAAGGCCUUCGGGUCGUAAAGCUCUGUCAAGUGGGAAAAAAGCCUUUUGAUCAAUAGUCAAAGGGUCUGAUGGUACCACUGGAGGAAGCACCGGCUAACUCCGUGCCAGCAGCCGCGGUAAUACGGAGGGUGCAAGCGUUGUUCGGAAUUAUUGGGCGUAAAGAGCGUGUAGGCGGUUUGGUAAGUCAGAUGUGAAAGCCCUGGGCUCAACCCAGGAAGUGCAUUUGAUACUGCCUCACUAGAGUAUGGGAGAGGAGAGUGGAAUUCCCAGUGUAGAGGUGAAAUUCGUAGAUAUUGGGAGGAACGCCCGUGGCGAAGGCGACUCUCUGGACCAAUACUGACGCUGAGACGCGAAAGCGUGGGGAGCAAACAGGAUUAGA
rnacentral:rRNA from 1 species